AGUCAACAACAGGCCCAAUUUGACCAUUCGCUACUCGCCACGACCCAACACCUACCACGAUCCCUAGAUCACUGACGAUCUCCUACUUUGGCGGACCCGUCCCACAGCGGCCCGAUUUAACCAAUCAAAAGACAGUAUACGAGACGGGUUACCGAAAGCAGGUGCUCUAGUUCAUGAAUAAUUAUGUAGUAAACGACAGAAAGGUGCUAAGGAAUCAGCAUCGCUGUACGGUGGGAUUCAAGCCGAAUAAACGGGUUAUCAGGUUGAGAUUAGGAAUCCGCAUCGCUGUACGGUGGGAUUCAUGUCGAAUAAGCGGGUAAUCGGGUCUACGGUUCGUUCUUGCCCCCGACCGACCCAAAGAUGCUUUCGGCGUCCCGCUACCACGCCUCCCUCGUCCACCUGCUCCAACUCCACUAGUUCCUACCCAUAGCCGCCCUCGACCACCACCCAUUCGUCGCUUCCAAGCUCAUCUUCUCUCUCCGUCGCCGAUGCCUGCCCGGUUCUUCGUUUGGAACUCCCUUAUCCGUGCGUUCCCCGGUUCGGACUUCCACCCAUCCGCUUGUUCUCAAAACCUAUCGCCGAGUUUCCGUGUUGCGACUCGGUGAAAUGGUUUAUGCGCCGGCCUUAAAUGCGGGGCGUUUGCUGGAUUUCUACGUUGGCGGGCCCUCUCUUAGUGGGAUGUCCUGAAGCGCUCGGAAGGUAUUCGAUGGAAUGGGUGUUUGGGAUGUGUUUCAUGAAGCUCCAUAAUUCAAGGAUGUCUUGCAUGGUAGGCAUUUUCAAAAAGGUGAAGGUGGCUUCGUGGCAACUCUCAUACUGGUGCCUCGGAAACUCAAAUCACAGAAUCAGCAAAAAGUUGUCGCAGACACUUCUCUCAAUCUAUCAACUUGCAAAUUCAUACUGGCCCAUGGCACAUGGCUCAUGCAAAUGUGGUAUGGGAAUGGGCCGUUUUGGAAAAUAUUCAUGGUGCAUGUAGAAACCCUGUAUAUGCUCAAGUCUAGGACUGAAAAUGGAUUAAUGUGUACCAUAUGUUGAAAAAGAUUAGGUGCAAAAUAUGCUUAUUAAUAGGUGAUCAUAUUGAUUAUAAUACCAUGAACAUACUAGGUGCAGAAUGAACCUUUUUUUUUUAGUUUUAUGCAGUGUUUAUUGGUAAGAGAGGUCAAGUAAUUACUUCAAUUAUAGGAUUUGGACCAUUUGGCACUCACAUAUUAGGGUUUAAAGAAUCUUAAACCAUGAUAUGAUUGUUUAGGGCCUAUUAAUCAGAUAGAUCAUUUCGAUCAUCAAAUUGUGAAUGAUUGCAGAGAAUUAUGCUACUGAUUGUUAUUUGAUCAUCUUGGAAAACCUUCUUUUGCUCAACUUAUUGAA